rnacentral:rRNA from 1 species
AGCGGCGGACGGGUGAGUAAUGCUUAGGAAUCUGCCCAGUAGUGGGGGAUAGCCCGGGGAAACCCGGAUUAAUACCGCAUACGUCCUACGGGAGAAAGCAGGGGAUCUUCGGACCUUGCGCUAUUGGAUGAGCCUAAGUCGGAUUAGCUAGUUGGUGGGGUAAAGGCCUACCAAGGCGACGAUCCGUAACUGGUCUGAGAGGAUGAUCACCCACAUCGGGACUGAGACACGGCCCGAACUCCUACGGGAGGCAGCAGUGGGGAAUAUUGGACAAUGGGGGCAACCCUGAUCCAGCCAUGCCGCGUGUGUGAAGAAGGCUUUCGGGUUGUAAAGCACUUUCAGCGAGGAGGAAGGCUUUAAAGUUAAUACCUUUGAGGAUUGACGUUACUCGCAGAAGAAGCACCGGCUAACUCCGUGCCAGCAGCCGCGGUAAUACGGAGGGUGCAAGCGUUAAUCGGAAUUACUGGGCGUAAAGCGCGCGUAGGUGGUUAGGUAAGCGAGAUGUGAAAGCCCCGGGCUUAACCUGGGAACGGCAUUUCGAACUGUCUGACUAGAGUGUGGUAGAGGGUAGUGGAAUUUCCUGUGUAGCGGUGAAAUGCGUAGAUAUAGGAAGGAACACCAGUGGCGAAGGCGGCUACCUGGACCAACACUGACACUGAGGUGCGAAAGCGUGGGGAGCAAACAGGAUUAGAUACCCUGGUAGUCCACGCCGUAAACGAUGUCAACUAGCCGUUGGGACUCUCGAAGUCUUAGUGGCGCAGCUAACGCACUAAGUUGACCGCCUGGGGAGUACGGUCGCAAGGUUAAAACUCAAAUGAAUUGACGGGGGCCCGCACAAGCGGUGGAGCAUGUGGUUUAAUUCGACGCAACGCGAAGAACCUUACCUGGCCUUGACAUCCAGAGAACUUUCCAGAGAUGGAUUGGUGCUUUUGGGAACUCUGAGACAGGUGUUGCAUGGCCGUCGUCAGCUCGUGUCUUGAGAUGUUGGGUUAAGUCCCGUAACGAGCGCAACCCCUAUCCCUGGUUGCUAGCAGGUAAAGCUGAGAACUCCAGGGAGACUGCCGGUGACAAACCGGAGGAAGGUGGGGAUGACGUCAGGUCAUCAUGGCCCUUACGGCCAGGGCUACACACCUGCUACAAUGGCGCGUACAGAGGGCUGCCAACUCGCGAGAGUGCGCCAAUCCCUUAAAA